rnacentral:antisense_RNA from 1 species
UUCCAGGGACGUGAAGCCGGAAAGCCAGGCGCCCUUCUUGACUGCGCCUAGGUGGAACUGGCCCUCCAGCAGCUUGAACGUAGCGUCUUUUCACACUGGUAGUUCCUGAGCCUCUUGUGAAAUGAAAGAUGUUCCUCAGUCCAAGCUGAGGACGGAGAAAAGCUGUAAAGCUGACACUGAAGCUAGAAUGACUUGUCAGCCACCUUUGAGCAAGAACUUGCCUGGAGUCCAAAUGUAUGGCUAUUGAAGGAUAGUAAGCAGACAGCACUAAAAGUCAUCCAUUUGUUAUGGAUUUAGUCUUAAGACCCUCAUUUGAGAGAUGCCUUCCCCAUACCUGAGGAAAGAAACAUCCUUAUCUCUGAAGGCACAGGGCCACAGAGAAGAGUCUGAACAAACAGGCUUUACCAAUUUCCCCCAGUUAUUACCAUUAGAUCAGACCUUUGUCCAGUCAUACCUUUCCACAAGUUGUCCACUCAUCAACCCUAAGCAUAAAAAUGCACAAGUUUCCCUGUUUGUUUGGGUCUUCAUUUCCAAAGGCUCCUAUGUCACGUUAAACUUUUAAAUAAAUUUGCCUGCUUUUCUCUUGUGAA